rnacentral:rRNA from 1 species
UACGUAGGGUGCGAGCGUUAAUCGGAAUUACUGGGCGUAAAGCGUGCGCAGGCGGCUUCGCAAGUCAGACGUGAAAUCCCCGGGCUUAACCUGGGAAUGGCGUUUGAAACUACGGAGCUGGAGUGUGGCAGAGGGAGGUAGAAUUCCACGUGUAGCGGUGAAAUGCGUAGAUAUGUGGAGGAAUACCGAUGGCGAAGGCAGCUUCCUGGGCCAACACUGACGCUCAUGCACGAAAGCGUGGGGAGCAAACAGG